rnacentral:rRNA from 1 species
AUUGAACGCUGGCGGCAGGCUUAACACAUGCAAGUCGAGCGGGGUGAUGGUGCUUGCACUAUCACUUAGCGGCGGACGGGUGAGUAAUGCUUAGGAAUCUGCCUAUUAGUGGGGGACAACAUCUCGAAAGGGAUGCUAAUACCGCAUACGUCCUACGGGAGAAAGCAGGGGAUCACUUGUGACCUUGCGCUAAUAGAUGAGCCUAAGUCGGAUUAGCUAGUUGGUGGGGUAAAGGCCUACCAAGGCGACGAUCUGUAGCGGGUCGGAGAGGAUGGUCCGCCACUCUGGGGAGGAGACACGCCCCAGACUCCUACGGGAGGCAGCAGUGGGGAAUAUUGGACAAUGGGGGGAACCCUGAUCCAGCCAUGCCGCGUGUGUGAAGAAGGCCUUAUGGUUGUAAAGCACUUUAAUCGAGGAGGAGGCUCUUUUGGUUAAUACCCAAGAUGAGUGGACGUUACUCGCAGAAUAAGCACCGGCUAACUCUGUGCCAGCCGCCGCCGUAA